GUCCUUUGUGUGUUAAAAUCGAUUUAUAUGCCUUGGAUUAUUACUUUAAGUCGGUUUUAAGUUAGGCGUAAUUUCAAACUCGCAGCAAAAAAGAGGGAAGAAACGUUGGUUGCCGCAACGGAGCAUUAGCCGUAUCCAAAACACCAAACCAAAGCCGUCUUCUACUCGAGUCCCCUCGCGCCGGCGACCCAACUCAACUAAUCGUAAUUACUGAAUUGCAGCAGAUCAAACUUGUCAAUAAGCAGAACAGGACUAUCGUAGAGAUAGCGGCAUAUGAUGACAGACAAGAUCCAGUGAUAUUUGAGUAUGCAUUUCUCAUGAAAAUCUUUGCAUGUAUGGUUAUGUUUUUCAGUAUCUUUGUGAUGUAAUCUGAAUUUCGUCAAUUUGGUGCAGAUGUUUUAUGUAAUACCAAGUUUUAGCAGAGUUUGUACAGGUACUAAGGAGCAGUACAAGUUCAAGAAUUGAGUCACCAUUACUUCAGUAUCUAAGCAUAUUGAUUCAAAACAUGGAUGGUGAACAUUCAAUGUGUAAGAUGUUUAGUAUCAUAGAUAUGUAUGUUAAAACUUCUUGUAUGUUAAGGCUUUUUCUUUCUUCUUUUCUGUUGGCAUGUCUCCAUAAAUUCUCUUGCUUCUUGGGCUUUGGAAACUGCAAUCUCGAACAUAAAUGUUGACAUGCCAUGCGCAAAUAAUUGCAUUUUAACUUUUUCUGACUAUUUCUUUUGUCUCUCAAAUUCUUUUUUCUGUUAACUCUUGACUAUUGUUCUUGCAAUUUUGGUGAUAUAUGCAAUUGUAUGAUGCAGAUUAUUGUUUAAGCAAUGACUAUAUCGGCAACAUAAUAACACAUCAAUAUGACUCUGACACAGGAGAUUUUGCUCUUUAUUACAUGUCUUUCAUAAGAUUGUGUUAUUAUUCUUUCUCCUUAAAAUUUCUAAAGCAUAGCAAUGUACCUUUCAUAAAUAGAUUACCAGUUUCCACUGAUUUUUUUCUUGCAGAAACUAUUGUUUGACUCGACUAUUAAAGAUGGGAAACACAUUUGACUAUAUUCAUGAUCCUGUUUUUCUGUUAAAUCAGAGCAGGGAGCAGCAAAAUAGAUAGAGACAUGCUUUGCCUUCUUAAGGUUCAUUGGAACAACUGUGUUUUGGCUUUUCCAACAGUGGAUGGAAGUAUUCUUGUUAGAAUUAUGCCUCAGAUUUUCAGGGCAUUAUUGAAGGUUUUAGCAAACUAACCACCUGUUUCCCCACCAAUAUAGUGGCACACAGGGUGGUUUUUGCAAAAGCUGCUGCAAGGAAAUAUGCUCACCGAUCACAAUAUCCACCUAUGCAACGUAAGCGUCCUACUGAUUGGUUGUGCUUUCUUUAAAUUAAUUAUGCCAAUGGGCAGUAUUACUGCUUCUGACAAUUUCAUCUUAGAACAAUGAUAUUUCCUGUUCAUGCAUGGUGGGUAAGCUGAAACCGCUUGCCUCCUUUACUUAGGUUUAGCUGGUUUUUCCCUCAAAAGCAGGAAGUGGGUGUUCCUUUCAAAGCAAAAGCUCCUCUUUUUUUUAUUUUUUUUUUUUUUUUUAUUUUCACCCACUCCUUCCUAUUGGUAUAUAUUUAAAACUUCCUUGCAGGGUCUAGCUUUGAUCUCUAUAUUCAUCUUUUUGUACUUUCACCGUUAUUUUUUAUUUUUUCCUUAUUACAUUAAAUGGGAAAAAGGUGAGUCCAUCAUGCGUAGCUCAGUGAACAACGUGUUUGGGGUGGAAAAAAAAGUGACAGGGAACUGACAAAUUUAAUUGUCUAAUCUCUCGUUGAAAUAAAAUCCAUAGGCUUUUUCCCCCUAUGUAUAGUCUCAAAAGGAAGGGAUAAGUACAUAUAAAAUAUAUUGUGAUAGUGGAAGUCUAAAACUUCAGACAUAAGCCUACUCAUCUUUUGCUUUUUUGGAAGCCAAUUAAA